UACGUAGGGUGCAAGCGUUGUCCGGAAUUAUUGGGCGUAAAGAGCUCGUAGGCGGUUUGUCGCGUCUGCUGUGAAAACUCGGGGCUUAACUCCGGGCCUGCAGUGGGUACGGGCAGACUAGAGUGCGGUAGGGGAGACUGGAAUUCCUGGUGUAGCGGUGAAAUGCGCAGAUAUCAGGAGGAACACCAGAGGCGAAGGCGGCCUACUGGGCUGCACCUGACGCUGAGCCGCGAAAGCCAGGGGAGCGAACGGG
rnacentral:rRNA from 1 species